UACAGAGGGUGCGAGCGUUGUCCGGAAUCACUGGGCGUAAAGGGCGCGUAGGCGGCCUGGUAAGCGUGCGGUGAAAGCCCGGGGCUCAACCCCGGGUCGGCCGUGCGAACUGCGAGGCUGGAGCACUGUAGAGGCAGGUGGAAUUCCGGGUGUAGCGGUGAAAUGCGCAGAUAUCAGGAAGAACACCCGUGGCGAAGGCGGCUCUCUGGGACGGUACUGACGCUGAGACGCGAAAGCGUGGGGAGCGAACAGG
rnacentral:rRNA from 1 species